UCCCGUGUGGCUCAGUUGGUAGAGCAUGGUGUUUGCAACACCAGGGUUGUGGGUUCAAUUCCCACGGGGAA
rnacentral:tRNA from 1 species